GGAUGAGUGGCGAACGGGUGAGUAACACGUGGGUAAUCUGCCCUGUACUCUGGGAUAAGCCUGGGAAACUGGGUCUAAUACCGGAUAGGACACACUGCCGCAUGGUGGUGUGUGGAAAGCUCCGGCGGUACAGGUUGAGCCCGCGGCCUAUCAGCUUGUUGGUGGGGUGAUGGCCUACCAAGGCGACGACGGGUAGCCGGCCUGAGAGGGUGACCGGCCACACUGGGACUGAGACACGGCCCAGACUCCUACGGGAGGCAGCAGUGGGGAAUAUUGCACAAUGGGCGCAAGCCUGAUGCAGCGACGCCGCGUGGGGGAUGACGGCCUUCGGGUUGUAAACCCCUUUCGCCAGGGACGAAGCGUAAGUGACGGUACCUGGAGAAGAAGCACCGGCCAACUACGUGCCAGCAGCCGCGGUAAUACGUAGGGUGCAAGCGUUGUCCGGAAUUAUUGGGCGUAAAGAGCUCGUAGGCGGUGUGUCACGUCUGCCGUGAAAACCUGCGGCUUAACCGUGGGCGUGCGGUGGAUACGGGCAUCACUUGAGUUCGGUAGGGGAGACUGG
rnacentral:rRNA from 1 species